rnacentral:rRNA from 1 species
AAAGAUUAAGCCAUGCAUGUCUAAGUACAUACUAAAAUAAGGUUAAACCGCAUAAGGCUCAUUAUAUCAGUUAUGGUUUUUUAGAUCGUAUUCACAGUUACUUGGAUAACUGUGGUAAUUCUAGAGCUAAUACAUGCACUUAAGGGAAUUUUAACCGAUUCCUGCUUUUAUUAGAUAAAAACCAAUGGGGUUGACUUCGGUCUUCUCAAAUAAAUGGUUGAACUCUGGAUAAUUUGUUGAUCGCAUGGUCUUCGUACCGGCGACGGAUCUUUCAAAUGUCUGCCCUAUCAACUAUUGAAGGUAGUGUCUUGGACUACCUUGGUUG